rnacentral:rRNA from 1 species
CGCUUGCGCGUCCCGCCGGCGACCCGGCGCACGGGUGAGUAACACGUAUGCAACCUGCCCCCGCCAGGGGUACAACCCUCCGAAAGGGGGGGCUGAUACCGCGUACAUCCCCUGGGGGCAUCCCCGGGGGAGGAAAGCCCUUUUGGGCGGGCGGGGAUGGGCAUGCGGCGCAUUAGGAAGACGGCGGUGUGACGGACCACCGUUCCGACGAUGCGUAGGGGUUCUGAGAGGAAGGCCCCCCACACUGGUACUGAGACACGGACCAGACUCCUACGGAAGGCAGCAG